UGGGGAAUAUUCCGCAAUGGACGAAAGUCUGACGGAGCAACGCCGCGUGAGUGAUGAAGGUUUUCGGACUGUAAAGCUCUGUUGUUUAGGACGAAAGUGCCUGUUGCGAACAGUUACAGGUAUUGACGGUACUAAACGAGGAAGCCACGGCUAACUACGUGCCAGCAGCCGCGGUAAUACGUAGGUGGCAAGCGUUGUCCGGAAUUAUUGGGCGUAAAGAGCAUGUAGGCGGAGAUUUAAGUCUGUUGUGAAAAUGCGGGGCUCAACCCCGUAUUGCGAUGGAAACUGAAUUUCUUGAGUGCAGGAGAGGAAAGGGGAAUUCCCAGUGUAGCGGUGAAAUGCGUAGAUAUUGGGAGGAACACCAGUGGCGAAGGCGCCUUUCUGGACUGUGUCUGACGCUGAGAUGCGAAAGCCAGGGUAGCGAACG
rnacentral:rRNA from 1 species